AAGGCGCUCAGAAUGUGCAUCG
rnacentral:miRNA from 1 species